GGAAAUGUAGCUCAGUGGUAGAGUGCUUGCCUAGUACGCAUGAGGCACUGGGUUCCAUCCUCAGUACCA
rnacentral:tRNA from 1 species